rnacentral:rRNA from 1 species
GUGAGGAAUAUUGGACAAUGGGCGCAAGCCUGAUCCAGCCAUGCCGCGUGCAGGAAGACGCAUCUAUGGUGUGUAAACUGCUUUUGUACGGGAAGAAACACUCCCUCGUGAGGGAGCUUGACGGUACCGUAAGAAUAAGGAUCGGCUAACUCCGUGCCAGCAGCCGCGGUAAUACGGAGGAUCCAAGCGUUAUCCGGAAUCAUUGGGUUUAAAGGGUCCGUAGGCGGUUUAAUAAGUCAGUGGUGAAAGCCCAUCGCUCAACGAUGUAACGGCCAUUGAUACUGUUAGACUUGAAUUACAAGGAAGUAACUAGAAUAUGUAGUGUAGCGGUGAAAUGCUUAGAUAUUACAUGGAAUACCAAUUGCGAAGGCAGGUUACUACUUGUGGAUUGACGCUGAUGGACGAAAGCGUGGGGAGCGAACAGGAUUAGAUACCCUUGUAGUCC